AUUGAACGCUGGCGGCAGGCCUAACACAUGCAAGUCGAGCGGAUGAAGGUAGCUUGCUAUCUGAUUCAGCGGCGGACGGGUGAGUAAUGCCUAGGAAUCUGCCUGGUAGUGGGGGACAACGUUUCGAAAGGAACGCUAAUACCGCAUACGUCCUACGGGAGAAAGUGGGGGAUCUUCGGACCUCACGCUAUCAGAUGAGCCUAGGUACGAUUAGCUAGUUGGUGAGGUAAAGGCUCACCAAGGCGACGAUCGUUAACUGGUCUGAGAGGAUGAUCAGUCACACUGGAACUGAGACACGGUCCAGACUCCUACGGGAGGCAGCAGUGGGGAAUAUUGGACAAUGGGCGAAAGCCUGAUCCAGCCAUGCCGCGUGUGUGAAGAAGAUCUUCGGAUUGUAAAGCACUUUAAGUUGGGAGGAAGGGCAGUAAGUUAAUACCUUGCUGUUUUGACGUUACCGACAGAAUAAGCACCGGCUAACUUCGUGCCAGCAGCCGCCGUAACAC
rnacentral:rRNA from 1 species